GAGCGUAAGGACCAAAACGCAUUGUUGCUGUAAUAUAUUUAAACAUGGUCUAUAAGUCUAAAUACUUUUUUUUUUUUUUUUAUGCAGCGCUGAAAAGAAGAAUGGCCACGACCGAUGUCUCCAAAGCGGCAUCAAAGAAAUCAACAUAACAGAUGCCUGGUAGUGGCGCAAGUGUCAGCAGAACUGCUUCAUUCCUAGAACCGUGCACCAGCGCCCGCGACAGUUGCCGGUCUGAAAAUCCAGCAAUGCAGAUUAUCCGCUGCCCUGAUGCCCCCAAAAGAAAAGAAAACACCAAAUUCCACAUCGUUAAAGAGAGACGACGAUCAACCACAAAUCUUCAUCAGGAACAGUUUACACCAAUAGCUGGAAUUCUAACAACGCCACAGCCGGUUCUGC